GGAAGCUUCCUGGAAAUUCACCAUGGCUUCCUCCUCCCUCCUCCCAUUUAACCUCCUUCUCCUUCCUCAAUCCUUUCACUCACCUUCUCCAUUUCUCUUCUCCCUUUCUCAUCAUGAAGCUCCUCAAAAACAUCCCCAAAAAGUUCUUCAACUACAAAAAAACUCGCUCCAUUUCCAGAUCUGAAAACCCAUCUUUCGGGUCUUCUUCCGAUUCGGAUUCCCAUCGCGGGUUCAGUAAACCCACCGGGUUAUCCACUCCGACCAGCGUGUUACCCAACGAAAUCUCCGCUGCGGAAGUAGUUUACGCUGAGCUCGUCCAUGCGUUUCACAUGAUGGACACUGACGGUGACGGCAAGAUAACGAAGGAAGAGCUGGAAGCGAUUUUAAGCCGAGUUGGAACUGAGCCUCCGAGUAAAGAGGAACUCGUGUUAUUACUUAAUGAAGUAGAUGUAAACGGAGAUGGAUGUAUAAGUUUAGAGGAAUUCGGAGCUAUCAGCUCGGCUUUUGGCCCGCCGGCGUGUGAUUCCGAGCUGAGAGACGCUUUUGAUUUCUUUGACGCCAAUCAUGACGGAAAGAUAACGGCGGAGGAGUUGUUUAACGUGUUUAGAACGAUCGGAGAUGGACGGUGCACGUUAGAGGAGUGCCGGCGUAUGAUAAGAGGUGUGGAUAAAAAUGGAGAUGGGUUCGUAUGCUUCGAGGAUUUUAGUCUUAUGAUGGAACAGCAGCAGAGAUGUUGACAAGUAAUUGGUGAUGGUUGAUUUUUCUUCAAUUUCGGGAAAAGUGUGUUUAUUUUAAGGGUGGGGAUUUAUUAGGAUAUAAUCAAACGGCUAGGAUUGAUCCAUUUUGGAUGUUGUACCAAAGUCAUAUCGUAAAUACAUGUGACAAGAAAUUCCUCCCUUUUUUACCCAUGAAACCGAAAUGGAAUUGGCUUAUUAUAUAUCAACUAUCACACAUUAUAUGUAUUUAGGUUCAUAUUGUUAUUUAUUUUUAAUUUUCACUUUAUGA